CUUGACAUCCAGAGAACUUGGCAGAGAUGCCUCGGUGCCUUCGGGAACUCUGAGACAGGUGCUGCAUGGCUGUCGUCAGCUCGUGUUGUGAAAUGUUGGGUUAAGUCCGCAACGAGCGCAACCCCUAUCCUUUGUUGCCAGCGAUUCGGUCGGGAACUCAAAGGAGACUGCCGGUGAUAAACCGGAGGAAGGUGGGGAUGACGUCAAGUCAUCAUGGCCCUUACGAGUAGGGCUACACACGUGCUACAAUGGCGUAUACAAAGAGAAGCGACCUCGCGAGAGCAAGCGGACCUCAUAAAGUACGUCGUAGUCCGGAUUGGAGUCUGCAACUCGACUCCAUGAAGUCGGAAUCGCUAGUAAUCGUAGAUCAGAAUGCUACGGUGAAUACGUUCCCGGGCCUUGUACACACCGCCCGUCACACCAUGGGAGUGGGUUGCAAAAGAAGUAGAUAGCUUAGCCUUCGGGAGGGCGUUUACCACUUUGUGAUUCAUGACUGGGGUGAAGUCGUAACAAGGUAGGCGUACGUGU
rnacentral:rRNA from 1 species